GUCCCACGCCCGACGCUCGCCGCCCUCCGCCCACCUUCCCUCCCCCGCGCCUCGGCCCCCGCGGGGCGGGGAAGGUGCCCCGGGCUUCGGCCCGGCUCCUGCCCUGACCGGGAUCCCGCACCCCGCGGGCUCAAGCGCCACCGACGGCCCGGGACCCCGCACGUCCCGCGGCCCCGCGCCUAAAUUCCGUGACCCCGCUUGUGCCCGUGGCCCUCAUUCGGGAACUGUCCGGCCGAGCCCCCGCAGCUGCCCUGCUGUCAGCUCCCAGCCGCUGCCGCCUCCGUGCUCCCCGGACAGCGACCGGGAGCUGCCCGCCGCCACCCCAGCCUUGCCGCCCAGCGCUGCGAACGGCCGGCGUCCGCUGCUCCAGGGAGAGGUCACCCGCCACGAGCUGACAGAAAACCUGGCUGGCAACGGGCUGCCUUUUCCCCGGGAGGCUGUAAUGGGUGCUUCGCCUGUGCUUCAACUUUUGCGGAAAGAAAAUAAGGAUUUUUUUUUCAGAAGCCUAGGCUCAUCAACUCUUCAUCCAAGAUCAAGCCACAGUCCUCGCAACACAGCCUCUCCCCUUUCUUUCCCACCUUCUCUGCAUUCCACCCACUUACUUCCCACCUCCUUCUCCCUGCAUCACUUCUUCUCUUACAAGCUCUUGCACUCCUAAAAGGUUUCAAAAUUAAACCCUGGCAGUCACUUUUUGCAUACUUUACAGACUAAAAUGAAUCCUGAUUUCUUCAUCAGUAGACUAGCCAGAAAGCAUUAGCAGGGCCCUUAUCCCAUUUAGGAAAGCCAUUUUGUGACUCUGCUUCCUUUGUGUUCUGGGAAAUACUGUUUUAACAGUGGUCCCUUCCCUAUCCUGGAUGUUUCUCCAGCAGACUCUGAUAGCUGAGAAGGACAACAGGGGCUUAGUUUCAUUUAGUCACAAUCAAUUACUUACUGCUUGCUCUUUUGGCAGAGUAUAUGUGAUGUGCAAGGAAGAGGCUGAUGUUCCUGCAAGUGAGCGCCCUACACUGAAAGAGCUGCGUGCCCAGGUUCAUCUGAAAAGGUUCAUCUUAAACUAUUCUACUUUAGCUGAUGUAGUGGAGAUGAUGUGCUUGUCCAGAACUUGUGCAGAUGUUGUAUGUCACUGCUCUGCCUGCAAUUCCAGCUACAGUGUCCUCCAAAUGACUGGACAAACUCUUUUGAGAAAAGGAUUGCCUUCCAGGGAUGGAUGCAUUCAAGAUCUGGAAGGGAGACAGCAUAAUUAUGUAAAUACUCCCACAUCCCAUGACCCAGAGCAAACACCUGCUGAUGUUAAUGGGAGAAGAGAGGAUUACGGUUCCUACAAUCAGCUCCGCUACCCGGUAAAUCUGCCUCUGACCUCUGCCUCUUUAUUUAAUCUCUUACCAACACAGCCAUUACCAGUACAUAAGACCAACUACACCUGUUUUCUGCCACAGGCUUUUAUCAUUUAGGAGCCAGGUAGAGAUGAAAAAUUAAUUUCUGAUAUAGUACUCAGCUGCCCUGUAAAGAUGAGCCAUGACACACAGCCUAAAGGUGAAAUAAUAAACUCAGUUUUGAAGGUUUUGUAUCAUACUGCUGUGUCACCACCCACAAACACCAGCCCACGUCAGCCAGUACUGCAACCUUCAGCAGUGCUCUUCUGGCAGCCACACUUGGAUGCACCAUCUUAGCGUGCCCUGCCUGUCUGGAAGACAGAUCUCCCUUUCUUCAGCUGCUGUCUGCAAUGGCCAGAAUGUAGCAAUAGAACAAAAGAUAUUAUCUUCCCUUCUGUAUCGUUUUUGAAGAUGUUACUUUAUCAAAAAUAUCCCUAGACUUCCAGGUUUACUGAAAGGAGGUAAUUAGUGACUAGAUACUAGCAAUUGCUAAUCCCAUGUUAUCUCACCACAAGUUACUAAGAUAAACUGCAGUGAUAUGGCUGUAUUUCAUAAUCAGCAACAGAACUGAACUGGCAAGCCUAGACCAAACUCUGUGGCAGGCACUGACAAAAAUCUUACUAAUUUCAGGUACUUUAUUGAGGAAAACUAAAUCCAGAGGCAAGAUCAGGUAUUGUAGUUUUUUCCCCAAAGGAAACAGUGCUACUGAGUAAUGAGAACACGUCUCAUGCAGCAACUGGCCUAUGCCUAUUUUAUGCUUUUAAUCAUGGUCAGCUGCUCAGAAGUCGAAUUACCAUCACGAGUAUUUUUGGUGUAUUACACCUCAUAGUAGCAGUUACAAUAAGAGCUAUUCUACAGAAUCUGCUUGAAGGAGGGUACACAUUAGGAAUCAUUCACAGGUAAAACAUGCUUCAUUUCCUUUUAGAAUGUUAGAAGACCUGGAAAAAUGGUAAAAUUCUGGUCUCUCACACAUUUUUCAUAUGUUGGUUAAGUGUAUAAGUAGCCAGCUGAUCAGUACUCAUGUUUCCUGCCUGAUACAUUCUGACAUCCAGCACAAGAUGGCUAACAUUUCUGGGGGAAAGAAAACGGAAGCACAUUUUCCACAGAAAAUGCAGUUUUCCUGCUUGAUACUAGUCUUGCCAAAAUGGUUCUUUUCAGAGUAAUUGCAAUGAAACCACUGUAUAUGAUGAACAGAAAGGCAGAAGUUCCCAGUUGCCUUAAAAGAAGCUAUAUAUUAUAUUUGUCUUUGCUCAUUGAUAACAGAAUACUGGCAGGAAUGAAAGUACUGUCUUAAAAUCUUGCAAGCAUGUAAAAUGUUGGGGAAAAGUCUAAACUAGUUGCACCCAUGCUCUGAUGCCAUUGUGGCAUGGAAGUCUGAUACACUAAUAAUAUAUUUAGCAAUUUAUAGUUCCUUCCAAUCACCAUGGUAAUUAAACACUGAGUUAAUUGAUACUGCAUAGUAUUCUAGCCUCUACUCAGCACUGUGUUUUUAAUUUGCUACAGAUUCUGUUAUGCAGCCUGAUCUAGUCAUAGUAAAGUAACCAUACAAACUCCAAUGCACCUGGUAAGAAAAGAAGCAGACCUAAGAGAAGAGAACCAUGACUACAUCUUGGUUUGCCAUUUGUAAACUACUGGAACACUGUGAUAAAAGUACAACUUCUUUCCUUUCUAUCCUCCUGUCCUUAAUUAUCAUCAGUCAGGAUUUUUUUGUUAAUUUAAUCACCUCACAAUAUUUGUCUACUUGUAGAAGAACCAAACAGGAUUCAUCUUGUGGAGGAAAAUGUGGGAAGAGUGCAUCCUUGGUUACUAUUUGCUGUUUAGAGGACACAGGCUCCUUACACUAGUAUCCCUUAGAAAGUAAUAAUAAAACAAAAGAGGAAAUAACAGGAUAUACAAGAUCAAUGAUGCAGUCUGAUGCUAAUCAGUGCAAUGCCAAAUUUUAUAAUGAAUCUAAUUCUUCAGGAACUGACUGUAAUGAAGCUUCUUGAAAUUUACUAUACUCAAAAUGGUGUUGCUGUGCUUCUGUAGCUUCAAAUAGUAGCUCAGACAGCCUAGACAUAAACACAUUAAGUAAUAUUUAUAACUUUGGCAGUGGUCUUUAUCUCUUUGGGGGUCCUAGAGGUCUGGUUUUGUUUUCUAUCACAGGCAAAAUGGUCUGAGCGGGAUGUUGUAAGUCUGGGUUACCACUGGAAGGGAAGAAGAGAUUUGAGGUUUUCCAUUGCUUGUUUUCCUAACAGCAGACUCCAGUGAAUUUCAUAUUAAUUCUGUGGUUGAAGUUAUGUGAAAAGCACUAAGGGCAUAUGAGUAGGUGUCCUCUUUGACAUCUAAGUAAACAAACAAAUAUUUUGGAUAGAGAAAAAUAAGAAUCACUGUGAAUGAGGACAAAAUGUUCUAGCUUGUGCCCUGGCACUCUCUCUCUGCUUUUUAUUUGCAUAUACCAACUAUCAUCAUUUUAAGGUAGCUUUAACAAGAAUAAAUUAUAACUUAGUUUCACUCUUUUCUGGUUUAUCAAGAAAUUGGCACCUAUAUGGUCAUCCUACUUCAUUUUAGCUUUCUGAAGUUCUGGGAAAGGAUUGCUCUGCACUUUGCCAACAGCAGAGCAGUGCUGGCUUUCAUUAGUGGGGGCCAAAUUCUUUCACUUUUGUUCACAGUGAUUAAUGCUGAAAUAAAUGGAACUUCUUGCAGUAUUCACUGUGAAAAGACUCUAAGUAUGCUCAGAUACAGACUACAGUAACAAAGUGUCUGCUGUUUGACUGUGCUCCCUCUCCCUUGCUAGAAAUGGAAUGGAGGGCAUGGCGGGAAAUUAAGCUUUAAUUCUGUUCAUACAAAGCAUGGUACUUUAUUGUUAUCAUUAAUAACAACCUGAGUUCUCAAAACGCUUGGAACCAAAAACUGGAGGGAGCUGAAGCACAAUCUCUGCCCUCAGGAGAUUGCAAACUAAAUAUAAAACAAGACACAGGUGGAAAGAAGACCUGAUUGGGGUAGGAAGGGUGGAGUAUGAGAGAACAAUAAAACGGUACUGGCCAGAGUAGUAACUGCUGGUGUACUUCUGGCACACCAGAAUUAGUGUUUGGAGGCACUGACGCAAAGUGAGUUAGCAAGAGAGUCUCCAAGGAGGCAAAUGUGCUAUCUUUAUAUAUUCAGAAGACCAUCUUUCAAGAAUGAGAGGCAUUUUUAACAGAAGUACGCAAAUGUGUAUUUGAAAACGUAAUGAGUAGACAGCAGAAGCUGGAUCCUGUACACACAGGCUGUGGGAAGAAAGCUUUUAAUAUUGAACAGAUGAUAGAUGAGGCAAGGGAGGGGCCUUCAGACUUCAGUCAAGCAGCCUCUACUUGAUGCACCAUAAAGGCAGGAUGAACUACAGUGAGCAGUGACAGCAGAGAACUGCCAGGGUAUUUGCAUUUGGGAUGCAAUGCAGUAGACCAGAUUGUGUCUAUCAAGGCAGAAUAAGUGAGAACAAAAGUGAAAUGGUAAACAUGGGAUGAAAUAUUUUCUACAGCAAAAAUCACAAAUUUUCACCUGGAAACCUCCUUCUGACAAAACCCAUUGUUUCUUAAAGAAUAAAAAUUGAAGAAAUCAUACAGUUUUCUGGAAAAUAACUGACAUUUUCCUGGGUUUUCACAUUCGGGCCAGCUUUAACUUGCACUUUUCUCUCCAUCUUGAAUUCUGGUUAUAUCUAGCUCUUGCAGAUUAUUUUUUAAUAACCCCUCUACUUCUCCAUUCUUGUGUUCUUAACACAGCCUAAAUUGUCACAGGACAUUAUAAACUCCAGAUGAAGGUCCUGUGUGAGAGGCAGGAGGUUGCUCUUUUGUAUGAGAAUGGUGAAGAAGGAGACGGGGGCAACUGUGGAACAAAUGAUGAUUGGAUGGAUUGCCCUCUGAGUAAACAGAGUGCUUCUGUGGAACAGUAGAUGACAAAGCUGAUGCUUCAGCUGAAAUUCUGAAGAAUUGCAGCCACAAGAUCCCUUGCAGAUUUCUCAGUUAACAGAGGAGAAGAACGGGCAAAACAAACCAAGUGCCAAUAAACUUUUACUUCCUUUCGUAAGAUGCUCUGUGGACAUCUUUAAAAUAUAUUACAUUGAAGAUAUGAAAUCUUGUGCUGAGCAAAGCCAGUCUCUGUAGAAAUAGCCAAUUCUUGAAUGAUUAAGCAACUGGGAAAGUGGAUUACAUUUUGUAUGUGUAGAUACAGUGUUUUGUUACUGGAGCUGAGCUUGAAAUUUCGAGGUGAUUAAUGUCCUUGAAUAACGGAGCAGCUAUGUUGAAACACAAAAUGUCUCAGCACAAAAUAUUGCCUGUGUUCUUCUCAUUCCAGCUUCUGGUGUCCGAUUUUCCCCCUCCUCUUCAGUCACUUGACAAAAAUAUAUUGUUUUAAACAAUA